GAUGAAUGGCCAACUCAGAAGACAAGACAACGCAUCUAACGACAGCAUAUUGAUUACAGAGAGCUGAAUGAGGCUGGAGGGCAUAAAAGAGAACCUCUUCACGCUCCAUCACUUACAGGCUCCUGGGAAAUCGGUCACAGUUUGGAGAAGAGAGAAGAUGCCUUCCCAGAUGUUGGUAGUCACCUUGGCAGUACUGUUGGAGGCUUGCUGCAUUAACGCUUAUCCUGUCUACCCUGAAAGCAAUGGUGUCCAAGGAAACAAAAAUGCUCUCCAGGAAGAUGUUCCUGACCGCCUGGUGGAUGACCUCAAGGCAGUUCUCUGGAAGAUAGUGGCAGUGAGUGAGCUCCAGAGCCAGGGAUUUACCCAUGCAGACCAGGCCCCUCAACAACCCAACAAGAGAGCUUGCUUCUGGAAAUACUGUGUCACCAAAUGAGGGACACAAGAGGAGCCCCGCCUGCCAUCUGCCUGCCAGCCUGCUCCAUGACACCUCUACCCUAACAGCUGCCGGUUGGCCCCUCUGCAUGUGACCCUGCCUGGCCACCACACCACAGUGUGCCUUGGUUUCCACAGCGCUUUGAAAUGUCUCCAUUUCCUUGUGGGGGAAAAGGGAGAGGAUAUGCAGCAGAGAGGGGUGUCACAGGGAAGGGGAGAGGCCCCAUGAGGGUCCAGGGCCCAGGACAGCGUGUCCCCCACAGCCACAUGGCUGCUUCCCUGCAUAUCAGGUGAUCAGUGGGGCAAACUACAGCCAUGGCAAGGCAAAGCUGCCAUCAUGCCCUUGCGGGGGGCUUGCAGGCCACCAGCAGGAGCCAAGUGCAGGAAAUGGCACCUCACUGAAUAAAACUCUUGCAGCUGAACA
rnacentral:lncRNA from 1 species